UUUCAACGGUGGAGCGUAGCGCGUGCGGCACUAAUUAAUGAUUUAAGCAACACACGGCCGAGUUUCGCGUGUACGCACUCUCACGCAUCUACGUUUACGCUCGCUGCCUUUGGAGCUGUGGCUAAGGAAUGCGCGAGCGGAAGCGCCCUCGAGGAGAACCAACACCCGCUUCGCUCGCGUUUCUCUUAUUUCUGCAACUCUGGCUUUGUGUCUUGCGUAUUUAUAGACUAUGUAAGUGCGUUGAAUCUUCUUCAAACUGUAAUGUAUACAUAGUGUAGACAUAUAUAUAUACUGCGAAUGAUAUAUCGUUUCUUUGAAUGAUUGCAUACAAUAAUAGAGAAUUUUAAACAUGUACAUAAAAAAUACACAUGUUUCUUCAAAACAGGUAUCGAAAUAAUUUAAGUUCUAAAUUCUUCGUCUUUUAAAUAAGAUUCUUCUUUAAUUGAGGUUCGAGUUACAGAUGUUCCAUUGUAUUUGCACACAAUCUACUCAUCGUUCGACUCCUCGACAAUGAUCUAUAUUAUUUGGCGAGAAGAGGGAAAAGGGUGGACAGACGCCGUCACGACAACGACGCGACGACAAAAGCCGAUAAGAGGGGGCGGCGGCUCUCGGUGACGACAAGAAGAAAAAUUCGUGGCGUGGCAGCCGGUGUCUGCAGGAUUUCGCGUGGGCGGCGAGAGAGAACGGCGAGGAGCGAGGCCAGCCGACACUGGUAUUGAUUACGAGGAAAGACCGCACCCUCUGCCACCCUUUGCCGCUGCCCUCAGGGGUUGGCCAGCCACCGCCGCGACACACGCCGCAUCGAGAGAGAAAUCCUGCGCAGUCGUCGUCCCUGAAUCUUUGCGUCUCUGUCCAGGCUCCAAAGAUCAAUUCCAAGCCUUGCUUGAAGAGGAUUUUCAAUUCUAUCAAUUGAUGAUUCUACUCAGAGGUUGUUUAGAUGACACUUCUUCUUGAAAUUUUUUGAUAUUACUUUCUGUUAAUGGAAUUAUAGUUAAAUAUUGUCUAUUGAAUUAUCUACUGAUUUAUUUUUUAGAGAAAUUGAUGUGUUAAGAAUUUUUAAUAGAAUAUCAAAGAAUAUUGGUACAGAUAUUCACAAUUUUAUAAAAUGGAGGAUACACCAUAUCCAGUAUUUAGAUUGAAGGAGAGGGAAGUAACAACCCUCUGAAACAGGGGAUACUGAUCCAAUCAGAGCAUUGCUCUACCCUCUGUAUAGAUGAAAGUAUCACAUCUGCGCAGCAUCCCUUUGGUCCAACCCCCAAAAUGCGGAAAAUGGCGGAAAAUUUCCAUCUUCAAAGAUUUGCAAUCAAUAAUUUCCACGUUUCGAAAAAUAAAAAUUUAAUCAAGGUAUUAAUCAAAAAUCUUUCUUGAAUAUUAUUAUUUCUAUUCAUGUACUUUGUUCUAGAAGCCUCGAGCUCUUGCACCGACUUGCCCGACCGAUAGCUUGACCGAAGAAUGCCUUCAUUAUUUUCGUUGCUCCUUUUUUUCAAUAUGAGUUAUGAACGAAUCUGAAAAAUUAAUAUCAUCGAUAAGCUUCGGUUUACAGGAUGAACAAUUAUAGAAGAAUUUGAUCAAUCUUACCAAUGGAGAAGAAUUUCAAAGAUUUCAAUUUAGUUUAAAUUUUAAUUUUAGCUUUAAUUUGAUAAAAUUCCACGUUGAAUAAUAUUUAAAUUCCUUUACAGUUCCAAUAUCUGACUUUGCUCGUUCAUAAGGCCAGAACCCUUUCAGACGAUUAGUAUACCCGAGAAGUAACGCUAGAACUGUUAUGUACGUUAAAGCGCCUUCCACGAGCAACCAUCCAAGAAGACUUAACGAAUCGAUUCGUUAGACACGGCCUAGAGUAAACAAGCCUCCGUAUAACUACGUAUACAUAAUUCGAUUGACGCUCACCGUCUCACCAUUAAUAUUAAUCAUAUCGUCCCCUCUUCCCAUCUUUCUUCCCAUCUUCCUCCCUCCCCAUCCCUCUCUGCCUUUUCUUUCCACGAAGAAGGAAACGAAGCAAACAUGUUGCUAGGCCACCAAGCGUUAAUAGAAAAAUGUAAAUAGGAAAACGCGAGGACAAAGGAAAUGGAAAUUUCAAAUGCGAACAUCCAGAUAUAAUGAGACCAUAAUUGUUUUUUGCAGCAUAAUAUAAGAUGCACAUCAAAUGGAAAUUAUGCUCGAACGGCUGCUUUUUCAAUUUUCAAACAUUUAUCUGAUUUUCUUAAGUUAAAAGAUUCUUCUCGAAAAAAAUUGUUCACAAAAAUUGUAUCCUUGCGUCCUUGGUCAACCUUCGAGGAAAUAGUCGAGGCUUUGCGACACCUUCGAGACGCUUAAAUGCUUGUUUAAACAAUCAAUCCACCCGUUGUUCUGACAUUUCAUACGUGUAAACCUGCACGUGCACCGGU